rnacentral:rRNA from 1 species
GACGAACGCUGGCGGCGUGCUUAACACAUGCAAGUCGAACGGAAAAGCCCUGCUUUUCUGGGGUGCUCGAGUGGCGAACGGGUGAGUAACACGUGAGUAACCUGCCCUUGACUUUGGGAUAACUUCAGGAAACUGGGGCUAAUACCGGAUAGGAGCUCCUGCUGCCUGGUGGGGGUUGGAAAGUUUCUGCGGUUGGGGAUGGACUCGCGGCUUAUCAGCUUGUUGGUGGGGUAGUGGCUUACCAAGGCGUUGACGGGUAGCCGGCCUGAGAGGGUGACCGGCCACAUUGGGACUGAGAUACGGCCCAGACUCCUACGGGAGGCAGCAGUGGGGAAUAUUGCACAAUGGGCGGAAGCCUGAUGCAGCAACGCCGCGUGCGGGAUGACGGCCUUCGGGUUGUAAACCGCUUUCGCCAGUGACGAAGCGUGAGUGACGGUAAUGGGUAAAAAAGCACCGGCUAACUACGUG